UAGUCCACACCGUAAACGCUGUCUACUAGCUGUUGGCGAUAUACUGUCAGCGGCCAAGCGAAAGUAUUAAGUGAUGCACCUGGGGAGUACGCCGGCAACGGUGAAACUCAAAGGAAUUGACGGGGGCCCGCACAAGCGGUGGAGCAUGUGGUUUAAUUCGAUGAUACGCGAGGAACCUUACCAGGGCUUAAAUGUAGUAUGACCGGUCUGGAAACAGACCUUCUCUUCGGAGCAGAUUACAAGGUGCUGCAUGGUUGUCGUCAGCUCGUGCCGUGAGGUGUUAGGUUAAGUCCUGCAACGAGCGCAACCCACACUUUUAGUUGCCAUCAUUUAGUUGGGCACUCUGAAAGAACUGCCAGUGAUAAGCUGGAGGAAGGUGGGGAUGACGUCAAGUCCUCAUGGCCCUUACGUGUUGGGCUACACACGUGCUACAAUGGCAUUUACAAUAGGAAGCAAGAUGGCGACGUCAAGCAAAUCCUAAAAAUNUGCCUCAGUUCGGA
rnacentral:rRNA from 1 species